GGGCGAUUAGCUCAGUUGGUAGAGCAACCCCUUUACACGGGGAAGGUCACAGGUUCGAGUCCUGUAUCGCCCA
rfam:Candidatus Adlerbacteria bacterium RIFCSPHIGHO2_12_FTLL_53_18 rifcsphigho2_12_scaffold_685, whole genome shotgun sequence.